GUUGAACUGCUGGCAGGGUCUCCCUGACUCAUGCACUCAUGAAUGGGAUUGAUCUCAGCUGUGGCCUCGGCCGUUCCUCACUGCGCUGAGGCCAUUAUGCAAAGGACCAGAGCCCAGAAAUUACCGUGAACAUCAAGUGUGUUGUAGCUAGAGAGCCUGGACUAACGAUGAUAACAUUUCUUCAGACGUCACCAUAUGCCAGACACUAUGCUAAAUAAGUUGAAGCCAGAUGAUAGAGCAUUAGACAGAGCCGGGAGGAGCAGCCGGAGGAGCGACGGGAAGCCAAGCAGAAACGGACACUAUCUGGUCCCAGCUCAGGCUUUGGCUUAAUCGCAACCACAUGAGCAGAAUCAGGGCUGGAAGCGUAGCUGUGAUGAGAAGAGUUUCCUUUGGGAUAGAAUGAGGAUAGAGCUGUUGCGGCCUGAGACAAGCAAACAACUUUCCUCUCUGAGCCAGUCACAGGAAGGAUGCAGCCAGGAAGACCAGUGAGGCUACCUUUCCACAGUACUGGGAACAUCUCCGCUGAAAACCCAUCAUGGUUCUGGGUCAAAAGCAGCACGGAAACAAGUGGAAUUGCCUGCAGACUCAUUCUGAAUAAAGGGUGGGUCCACAUGGAGAAGGCUGCAUCCAGAUGUGCUUGUGAUUGGCUCUGCUUCUAAAGUGUGGAUGCUAUUUUGAGAAGGCUGUUGUAGAUACAGUAUCUCCAGAUCUUACAUCUCAACUUUAAGCCCACUGGAAGAGUGAGAAUCUUUAUUGCAGCAUUCUCAGAAGAAAGUCUGAUUACCCAUCACUUACCAUCUCCUUACCAAUCACUUUGGCUUGGGCCAGCACCACAUGGAGCCCUACCAGAGGAG
rnacentral:lncRNA from 1 species